AUUGAACGCUGGCGGCAGGCUUAACACAUGCAAGUCGCACGAGUGGCGGACGGGUGAGUCAUGCUUGGGAAACUAGCUUAUGGAGGGGGAUAACUACGGGAAACUGUAGCUAAUACCGCGUACCAUAGGAUGAGCCCAAGUGGGCUUAGGUAGUUGGUGGGGGAAAGGCUCACCAAGCCGACGAUCUCUAGCUGGUCUGAGAGGAGGACCAGCCACACUGGUACUGAGACACGGCCCAGACUCCUACGGUAGGCGGCAGUGGGGAAGAUUGCACAAUGGGCGCAGGCCGGAUGCAGCCAUGCCGCGUGUAUGAAGAAGUCCUUAGGUUUGUAAAGUACUUUCAGCGGGGAGGCGUUACCCGCAGAAGAAGCACCGGCUAACUCCGUGCCAGCAGCCGCGGUAAUAC
rnacentral:rRNA from 1 species